GACGACGCUGGCGGCGUGCCUAAUACAUGCAAGUCGAACGAGUGGCGGACGGGUGAGUAACAAGUGGGAACCUACCCAUCAGAGGGGGAUAACUAUUGGAAACGAUAGCUAAUCCCGCAUACUAGUAGAUGGCCCUGCGUUGUAUUAGCUAGUAGGUAGGGUAAUGGCCUACCUAGUCGACGAUACAUAGCCGACCUGAGAGGGUGACCAGCCACACUGGAACUGAGACACGGUCCAGACUCCUACGGGAGGCAGCAGUGGGGAAUAUUGCACAAUGGGCGCAAGCCUGAUGCAGCCAUGCCGCGUGUAUGAAGAAGGCCUUCGGGUUGUAAAGUACUUUCAGCGGGGAGGCGUUACCCGCAGAAGAAGCACCGGCUAACUCCGUGCCAGCAGCCGCGGUAAUAC
rnacentral:rRNA from 1 species